GACCAGUGCAUGGACGUUUUUGUCCCUCGCUUCUUCCUCCGGUUGUUCUUCUCGUUGGUCUUUGGGGUGCAAAAAUCACAGUUUUGUCCAUGUUAGACGCGUGUUGAUCAUCGACUGCUCAACCUUUUUCUACUUUUGUUCUCUCCUUUUUUUCCUUGCUCUUUCAUUUUUCUUCGUUCCUUUCUCGACUUCUCCCGCUCUCCCCUAUCGUUUUCUGCCAUCUUUGAACCAUUGGUGCCUUUUCUUUUGCUGAUCUUUGUGUUUGCUAGUGUGAAGUCACUUUGUUGGGGGAAAAUUUGUCAACUGGUAGCUUAUUUGGGUUGGUGGGUUGGGUUCCACGGAUCUUGAACUUGCAGAAGCAAAUUAUCUUGGUUUGGAAGCUGCGUAUGUUAAAGAUGUGAUUAAUUGUGAAGAACAAUGAGGUUGAAGCUUCUGCAUUAGACAUUGAUUAUGAAGUCGUUGCCUCAAAGAUUCAAAUUGGUGAUUGCUACGAAGUCAUGAAUUUUCAAACGAUCAAGAUCAGAGGGCAGUAUAAAGCCUGCCACAUAAUACCUAGCUUAUAUUCACUUCUAAAACAGUGUUUAGAAUUCUAUCUGCUGUUUUUCCACCCAUUCCGUGACAUCGAUUUUUCCUGCUAGAUUUUAACAUGAUUUAUUCGUGUCUGAAUAGAUAUGAUAUUCUUACAAGUAAUAUUAAAACAUAUAUAUCUA